rnacentral:tRNA from 1 species
GGGCCCGUGGUCUAGGGGUAUGACGUCGCCUUGACGAGGCGGAGGUCAUGCGUUCGAAUCGCAUCGGGCCCA